rnacentral:sRNA from 1 species
GCACCCGACAUAUUCACCAGAGCACGGAAAGCAGCACCCAACAUAUUCACCAGAGCAGGGAAAGCAGCACCCAACAUAUUCACCACAGCAGGGAAAGCAGCACCCAACAUAUUCACCAGAGCACGGAAAGCAGCACCCAACAUAUUCACCACAGCACGGAAAGCAGCACCCAACAUAUUCACCACAGCACGGAAAGCAGCACCCAACAUAUUCACCAGAGCACGGAAAGCAGCACCCAACAUAUUCACCAGAGCACGGAAAGCAGCACCCAACAUAUUCACCAGAGCACGGAAAGCAGCACCCAACAUAUUCGACAGAGCACGGAAAGCAGCACCCAACAUAAUCACCAGAGCACGGAAAACAGCACCCAACAAAUUCACCAGAGCAGGGAAAGCAGCACCCAACAUAUUCACCACAGCAGGGAAAGCAGCACCCAACAUAUUCACCAGAGCAGGGAAAGCAGCACCCAACAUAAUCACCAGAGCAGGGAAAGCAGCACCCAACAUAUUCACCAGAGCACGGAAAGCAGCACCCAACAUAUUCACCAGAGCAGGGAAAGCAGCACCCAACAUAUUCACCAGGUCAGGGAAAGCAGCACCCAACAUAUUCACCACAGCAGGGCAAGCAGCACCCAA